rfam:TPA: Bos taurus chromosome 14, whole genome shotgun sequence.
ACCCUGGUGCUCAGAUGGUAAAGUGUCUGCCUGCAAUGCAGGAGACCCAGGUUUGAUCCCUGGUUCGGGAA